GGCGGCGUAGCCAAGUGGUAAGGCAGAAGCCUGCAAAGCUUUGACCCCCGGUUCGAAUCCGGGCGCCGCCUCCA
rnacentral:tRNA from 1 species